AAUUUAAUAGCUUGGGUGAACCAGUAAGCUUGUCAUCUUUUGUGGGCCCUCUUGUACGAGAGCAUGUACCUGUAACACUUGAUGAUUGGAGGAACCUUGGUGAUGACCUUAAAGUACCAUUAUGGGAAGAAGUUCAUGCAAGAUACAUCUUGGAUGAAGAAUGGCAAAAAGAUGUCAUAUUUAAGUCGAUGGGAUGCCUUUGGAGGGCCUCAAAAUCUAGAUUAGUUCGUCAAAUACAAGCAGCAAAGAACAAACAAGAAAGACUUCGGCUCAAACCAGACAACAUACCAACUUUAGCAAUUUGGAAGAAGUUUGUCAAGACAAAAACAAGUCCAACAUUUAAGGCUAUAAGUGACAAGUACAAGGCAUUGAGGCGUAAACAAGUACCACACACAUGCAGUCGCAAGGGAAUGGUUCGAUUAGCAGCUGAUAUGGUAAUACAUAUCAUAUAUUAAUGCUUUUUA